rnacentral:lncRNA from 1 species
GGGUGAAGGUCUACGGUGGGAAUCUGGCACGGGCCACUCGUGGUAGAAAUUUGAAGUAGAUCUUUUGCAACGGAGACUCGGAGUGGGUCGCUUGCGGUAGGAGCUCGGAGUCUGGCUCUCGUAGGAGUUCGGACGAAGUCUUCCUGCAGCCGGAGUCAGGGACGAGGUCCGGCUCCCGUAGGAGUCCGGGCGAAGUCUACCUGCAAUUGGAGUUGGGGGCGAAGUUCGGCUCCCGUAGGAGUCCGGACGAAGUCUAACUGUAAUUGAAGUCGUGAGCGGAGUCCGGCUCCCGUAGGAGUCCGGACGAAGUCUUCCUGCA